UAUAUGAUACCGUUUAUUGAAGUUUUUUCAAUAUUAUCAUCUGAUAGUUGUCCACCUUGUGAGAACGGACAUAUUGUUCAACAUAUUAAACCAUCUGGGAUCAGCAAUAUUCGUCCUGUCCACACUUCAAAUGGAGGUUAGUCGUAUCACCAGUUGCACCGCAAAACUCUCAAAGAUUGAACGUCUUCUGCUCCUUCAAUAGUCAAUAAUAUCAACGUUAUGGUGCGUGUCACAAAUUCGUUAACGCUUGUCAUAACUACUCCAGUUGGUUAUCUAAAUUGAAUAGAGAUUCAAUAAUUGUACUCAUUCUCCUACACGGCUCAACCUGCUUUAUACUCAACAAAUCAUCGUCUUGAGUUAAUUGUGGUUCAAAUGGACACAAGUAAUCAUCCUGGUCAUCAUAAUUCAUGGACUAGGAUUCUGAAGACUGUUGCCUGUCAUGGUUAUGCCAUUGCUGUUUCUCUUUCCAUGGAAGUUACAACUUGAAAAGAUGCAGUUUGAUGCAGUUCAGGUGAAUUUACAAUUUUUACAAUUCUACGAUUGCAUCUAUAACUACACCUCUCCAAAUAAAACGAAACAAAUGAUGAAAAUUAUUUAAUGUACGGUUUGAUAAGGUCAACAGGUUGUUCGUUCAUUCUUGUCUGAUAACUUAUUUUGUGAUUUGAUCUUGUUGAUGUGCAAAAACGGGAUUCAGGUUUUAUUUAUUCCAUGGUUCACACCCCACUCAUGUAGUCACUGUUUAAAAUAUCUUAAUAAAUUCUUAAUCAUUUGAUGAAACCUUCUUUAUUUACGUAGAUAACAAAAUAAUUUCUCAUGUGAUUGAAUAUUAACAUGAUAUCCAAACAUCUUCCCCAUUUACCUUCUCGAACAUUUUCUUUUUCAACCUUUCCUUUGAUUUCAUAUUCUUCUUAAAAACCUCUCUUUUCUCCUUAAUAUUCUUCCGCUAUUAGACUUCACCACAUAGGACCGUGGGGCAUCAGCUUCAUUAAUAACUACUCCAGGCUCCCAUAAUUUUGUUCUCCAAUCUUGGAUAUAAAUGGGCUGA